CACAGAGACACCCACAGAGACACACACACACACACACACACACACACACACACACACACACACACACACACACACACACACACACACACACAGAGGGGGUGUGCAGGAGACGGAGGUUCGCUCUAACCGGGAUUUCUCCCUUUGUUUUGUGGAUGAACGCCGUGAUACCGAGAUGUGGACCUUUUUAGGACGAAUAAUAUGUUUUCAGUUGCUCACUAUGCAGCCUUACUGCGGAAAAGGGUCUGAGACGGAGUGUGAAGACGGACAGUUUCAGUGCAAAAACAAGAGGUGCAUCCCGACUUUAUGGAGAUGUGACGAUGACGACGACUGUUCUGACAACAGCGACGAGGAAGAGUGUCUGAAGAGCACAUGUGACCCGGCGGAGUUUGCGUGUCAGAACGGACAGUGUGUGUCCAGCCGCUGGCUCUGCGACGGAGAACCCGAGUGCUCGGACGGAUCAGACGAGGCCGAGUCCACCUGCACCGUGAAACAGACAUGUCCUCCAGACAAGUUUGACUGCAGAGGGACCUGCGUGUCUCCAGCAUGGAAGUGUGAUGGAGAGAAAGACUGUGAGAGUGGAGCUGAUGAAGAAGACUGCGCUGCCGAUGCUCGCUCCUGUGCUUCCGGAGAGUUCCAGUGUCGUAACCUGAAGUGCAUGUCUCCGGCAUACGUGUGCGAUGGCGAUGACGACUGUGGCGACGGCACCGACGAGGAGCAGUGUUCUCCGCCAUCGUGCGGUCCGCUCCAGUUCCGCUGUAACAGCUCCGAGUGCAUCCCGCAGCCCUGGACCUGCGACAGAGACCCCGACUGCUUCGACGGGUCAGACGAGUGGGAGGGGCUGUGCGGCGAUGCAGACGGCCGAACGCUAGCGCCAGCGGUUCUCAGGGUGGAGUGCGGUGCCGGAAUGUUCCGCUGUGGGAGUGGAGAGUGCAUCAAGCUCGCGUGGAGGUGUGAUAAAGAUCCAGACUGUGUGGACAGAUCAGACGAGUCGGACUGCCCUCUCCUGACGUGCAGGCCUGAUGAGUUCCAGUGUGGUGACGGCUCCUGCAUUCACGGUAUCAAGCAGUGCAAUAAAGCCUUUGACUGUCUCGACCGGAGUGAUGAGGCUGGCUGUGUUAAUGCCACAAAAUGUGAAGGACCUCUGAAGUUCCUCUGUAGAAAUGGAGAGUGUAUUGACGGAGCAAAGGUGUGUGAUGAUGUCAAGGACUGCAAGGAUCGAUCAGACGAGCCCAAGAGGGAAUGUGGUUUAAACGAAUGCACGAUGAACAACGGCGGCUGUUCUCAUAUCUGUGUGGAUCGACCCAUUGGCUACGAGUGUCAGUGUCCUGCUGGAUACAAACUCCUGGACAAAAGGACAUGCGGAGACAUAGACGAGUGUGAGAACCCAGACGCCUGCAGUCAGAUCUGCAUCAACCUCAAAGGAGAUUUUAAGUGUGAAUGUCACUCAGGCUACGAGAUGGACCCCGUGAGCAGAACCUGCAAGGCGGAGGGUAAAAGUCCCUUUCUGAUGUUCACCAACCGACACGAGAUCCGGCGCAUUGACCUGGUGAAGCGGGAGUACACGCAGGUCGUCCCGACUCAGAAGAACGCCGUGGCCAUCGACGUGGACGUCACCUCCAACCGCAUGUACUGGUGCGACCGCUUCCAUCGCAAGAUCUACAGCGCCUACAUCCAUGAGGCGAGUGACCCGGCCCGUCACAUGACUCUGAUCGACACGGGCCUGCUUUCCCCAGAGGGUCUGGCUUUUGACUGGGUCCAACACAACCUCUACUGGACUGACUCGGGUCACGGCACCAUCUCCGUUGCUUCGUCUGUCGGCAGCAGGAGGCGUGUCCUGAUUCGCACCGAACUGAGUGAACCGAGGGCCAUUGCUGUGGCUCCGGAGCAAGGGUUCAUGUUCUGGUCCGAUUGGGGAACGAGGCCCAAGAUAGAGAAGGCUGGAAUGAACGGCGUGGACCGACAGGUUUUAGUGUCUGAGGGCAUCGAAUGGCCCAACGGCAUCACACUGGACGUGGUGGGGAAGCGACUGUACUGGGUGGACUCAAAGCUCCAUCUGAUCUCCAGCGUGGACUUUAAUGGAGCUCAGCGCAGAGUGAUUCUGUCGUCUAGCGAGAGGCUCGGCCAUCCAUAUGCUCUCGCCGUGUUCGAGGAUCGCGUGUACUGGACGGACCGUGAGAAGGAAGCCGUGUACAGUGCGAACAGACUCACCGGGCAGGAUGUCACCAGCCUCGCUGAACGCCUCAAAGAUCCACAUGAUAUAGUGGUGUUCCAUCAGCUCAGUCAGCCCCAAGCUGCAGACAGUUGUGACCUGGCCGGUAUGAGUAACGGUGGUUGUGCCUUCCUGUGUCUGCGCGCUCCUCAGAUCAGCGCUCACUCCCCCAAGUACACAUGUGCCUGUCCUGACGGCGAGGAGCUGAGCCCUGACACGCGACUGUGUGUCGCCAUCCAGAAUGUCACCGUCACACCGACGUUCCCCAGCUUUCCUCUGAACAGCAGCACUGUGGAGUCAGAGGCAGUGACAGAGGCAGUGACGGAGGCAGGCAUGGACACUGUGAACUCAGAGGUCUCGUUCGUCUCAGAGGUUGUGACCUUUAAAGAGAACGUCGUUCCAUCAGAACCAACGCUGAACGUAACAGUGGCAUCCACACACAUCCCCACUGUGCUGCUGAGCACAACUACAGGAGAGACCACUAACCUGUCCCAUCACUCGGGAAAUGAGUUGUAUCUUCUGGGACACAGUGUACCUGUGGCUGUGCUCGGAGUUGGAAUUCCCAUUGUGGCGUUUGUGCUGCUUCUCUCUGCUUCCUGUCUGAUUUAUCGUAACUGGAGGCUCAGGAGCACCAAGAGUAUGAACUUUGACAACCCCGUGUACCGGAAGAGCACCGGAGAAACCGAGGAGGAUGAGAUCCACAUCGGGAGGAGCGAGGGGCUCGCCACACACCAACACCCUUACCCAGUGCCUGCGGUCGGCACGGCGACGUGUCCGCCGUUCAUCGCUCUUCCUCUGGGUGGCACUGUUACGGAUCCGGUCCCUCACUGGUACACAGAGCCACCCACCAUCACCAGCACCAAGUGAGGGUUUCCAUGGGAACAGUGUUUAAAGUGUGUCAUGAGACACUGAGCUAAAUCCUGAGUGUCAAAAGUUUGUACACCCACUAGAUGAUACGUAGCAGGGAUGUGUAUCUCUGGAACGAUUCGAUGUGUGAAUGAAGACAUGUAAAGAAAGCAGUGAUGUAAACGACUAGAGACGCAGCGCUGCAGAGACACAGUAGCCCCGCCCCCUUUACUCAGGAGAGAGAGAGCUAAAUAAAUAAAUAUAAAUUAGCUGAGCACGGUGACAAACAUAUCGAUUCGCUCACCGUCACUGAGACGGGAGAGACGUGUGCUCACACACACACGACGGGAGGGGCUCCAGAUCUGUAGAAGUUACUCAACACAGCAUCGUCUUGUGAGUAAGAAAGUUUCACCAUAAACAAUCAUGGAGGUCUUGAUGGAUUUAUAAAACCUAUGCAACAGCAGGCUGCUGCAGGAAAUAACGUCUUUACACUAAGCAUUUUUAUUUAAUGACAUUAAACACAUAAUCAGCUUUUAUUUUUGUCCUAGUGACUGCAGAAAAAACACUAACGGAUAUUUCUGCCUUCGUCGGCCAAAAACGUGCUUUUACACGUGUCAUGACGUCCAACAGGGGUUUUGUAAAACCCUCAAACUGUAAUCUCUCUCUCUCUCUCUCUCUCUCUCUCUCUCUCUCUCUCUCUCUCUCUCUCUCUCCUUCUCUCUCCCUCUCUAUCCCCUUUCUCUCUCUCGUUUCUUCCAGACUGCAGUAAAGGAGGCAGAAUUAGCGCUGCGUCGACAGCUACAUUAGCAGUGUAAUAAAAUUGAGACGUUGUUAGUCAGUCAGUGGAACACUGCGUGUGUUGUGUUGAUGAAACCUGUUUACAGGAAACAGGAAGUACACAGAAGGUUCUUUACCUCAUGUGUGGACUGAAUGAAGUGUGCAGUAUUGUCUCAGGGAGUUGGUACACUGUGUGUGUGUGUGUGUGUGUGUGUGUGUGUGUGUGUGUGUGUGUGUGUGUGUGUGUGUGUGUGUGUGUGUGUGUGUGUGUGUGUGUGUGUGUGUG